ACGCUGGCGGCGUGCUUAACACAUGCAAGUCGAACGAUGAAGCCUAGCUUGCUAGGUGGAUUAGUGGCGAACGGGUGAGUAAUACGUGAGUGACCUACCUUUGACUCUGGGAUAAGCCUGGGAAACUGGGUCUAAUACCGGAUACGACCAAUCUCUGCAUGGGGUGUUGGUGGAAAGCGUUAUGGAGUGGUUUUAGAUGGGCUCACGGCCUAUCAGCUUGUUGGUGAGGUAAUGGCUUACCAAGGCGACGACGGGUAGCCGGCCUGAGAGGGUGACCGGCCACACUGGGACUGAGACACGGCCCAGACUCCUACGGGAGGCAGCAGUGGGGAAUAUUGCACAAUGGGCGCAAGCCUGAUGCAGCGACGCCGCGUGAGGGAUGACGGCCUUCGGGUUGUAAACCUCUGUUAGCAUCGAAGAAGCGAAAGUGACGGUAGGUGCAGAGAAAGCGCCGGCUAACUACGUGCCAGCAGCCGCGGUAAUACGUAGGGCGCGAGCGUUGUCCGGAAUUAUUGGGCGUAAAGAGCUUGUAGGCGGUUGGUCGCGUCUGCUGUGAAGGCCGGGGCUUAACUCCGGUUUUGCAGUGGGUACGGGCUAACUAGAGUGCAGUAGGGGAGACUGGAAUUCCUGGUGUAGCGGUGGAAUGCACAGAUAUCAGGAGGAACACCGAUGGCGAAGGCAGGUCUCUGGGCUGUAACUGACGCUGAGAAGCGAAAGCAUGGGGAGCGAACAGGAUUAGAUACCCUGGUAGUCCAUGCCGUAAACGUUGGGCACUAGGUGUGGGGGACAUUCCACGUUUCCCGCGCCGUAGCUAACGCAUUAAGUGCCCCGCCUGGGGAGUACGGCCGCAAGGCUAAAACUCAAAGGAAUUGACGGGGGCCCGCACAAGCGGCGGAGCAUGCGGAUUAAUUCGAUGCAACGCGAAGAACCUUACCAAGGCUUGACAUGCAUUAGAUCGCGUCAGAGAUGGCGUUUCCCUUCGGGGCUGGUGUACAGGUGGUGCAUGGUUGUCGUCAGCUCGUGUCGUGAGAUGUUGGGUUAAGUCCCGCAACGAGCGCGACCCUCGUUCUAUGUUGCCAGCGGUUCGGCCGGGGACUCAUAGGAGACUGCCGGGGUUAACUCGGAGGAAGGUGGGGAUGACGUCAAAUCAUCAUGCCCCUUAUGUCUUGGGCUUCACGCAUGCUACAAUGGCCGGUACAGAGGGUUGCGAUACUGUGAGGUGGAGCUAAUCCCUUAAAGCCGGUCUCAGUUCGGAUUGGGGUCUGCAACUCGACCCCAUGAAGUCGGAGUCGCUAGUAAUCGCAGAUCAGCAACGCUGCGGUGAAUACGUUCCCGGGCCU
rnacentral:rRNA from 1 species